rnacentral:rRNA from 1 species
GAUGAACGCUGGCGGCGUGCUUAACACAUGCAAGUCGAACGGUGAAGCUCCAGCUUGCUGGAGUGGAUCAGUGGCGAACGGGUGAGUAACACGUGAGCAACCUGCCCCUGACUCUGGGAUAACAGCCGGAAACGGCUGCUAAUACCGGAUAUGCACCAUGAACGCAUGUUCUGUGGUGGGAAAGAUUUUUCGGUUGGGGAUGGGCUCGCGGCCUAUCAGCUUGUUGGUGAGGUAAUGGCUCACCAAGGCGUCGACGGGUAGCCGGCCUGAGAGGGUGACCGGCCACACUGGGACUGAGACACGGCCCAGACUCCUACGGGAGGCAGCAGUGGGGAAUAUUGCACAAUGGGCGAAAGCCUGAUGCAGCAACGCCGCGUGAGGGAUGACGGCCUUCGGGCUGUAAACCUCUUUUAGCAGGGAAGAAGCGAGAGUGACGGUACCUGCAGAAAAAGCGCCGGCUAACUACGUG